CAGAUCCCUCGGGCGCCGGCGCCAACUCCGUGGACCAGGUUGCCGGGGCUCGAGUCACUCCGGGGCCGCUGGGCACGGGACAGGCCUGAGCGCGUCCGCGUGUGCCCCGGGCCCGCGUGUGCACGGAGGGGCUGCGCGAGGGAGCAGCACCACCCAGGGCGGAAGGGGCCCACGGCGGCUCGGGCAGGGCAGCAGUGCCGGGUGCUGGGGCGCUCAGAAGGGGGCCCUGUGCCGGGCACCCGGUAAUGUGGUGAGGUACAGGGCUCCUGGGGCCACUCCGGGCCGAAGGGACAGCCAGCGAGCGUUUGCUGGGGCAGGGAGGGGCCCACAGAGGGCGCAGAGGGUGUGUAGACCCCCCACCCCCGCACCACUGAGUCGAGAACAGGUGUGAAGAGGAGACCCCACGGGCUGUGUGCUCUGCCCCCGUCAGAAACCCAAGGCAGGACACCGGAAUCUGCAGAGGGACUCUGAUUUGCAAUUUAAAGAGUGACGGUCUUGGCUCCCCCUGCCCUGGCCCCUCCCCAGAGCAUCCCUCCCAGCCCAGCCAACUCCUGGCUCCCCACCCGGGGCUUCCCCACCACAGUCUCCAGUUAAAAUGCAGAUAUGCUUAGGAAGGGGCGCUGACUCCUUCCUGACCAGGGCCCACCCUACACAUGCUGAUGAGCGAGACCCCCGUGGCAGGUUCUAGAGAGCAGGGCCCCAGGCAGCGGGGCUUAGUGGGGCCCCGGAGGAGCUGUGCAGUGGCCGCUGCUAUGGGAAGACGGGCCAGAGCCACCUCCCCCGGUCUGUGGACUUUGUCCCUGAAGCAUCUGCUUUCUGCCACGGGCACUACGGCCUCCACCGGGCCUACCCAGCGCCCAGCCCUUGGCCUGGCCUGCCCGGGGCACCAGAUGGCAGGGUAGUGGCGUGAAGGGGGACGGGAGACCGUCCAGCACCUUCACUGGGCUGCUCUGAGUGACCACGAGCUUGCGGGAGGGGGGCAGGGGUGCUCCAGGUGGGGGGCUAACCUGUGUCCUCCAGGAUCUGCCCCCAGUCCCUGCUGACCCCAUGCCCACCACCAGCCCCAGCACCGGCGUCCCUGCUCUGGGCCCCGUAACACACAGGACAGCCCUCCAAGCCCUGCCCACACUAUUCUCUGUAAUUGUCCUUUCUCGGGGCCACCUGAGUUUGCUGGCCCCCCUGGCAGCAGGGGGCCCUGGUGCCGGGACCGGUCACCCGACUGCAUGUCUCGGGCCAGGCAGCCACUGGAAGGCAGCGGACAAGAUGAGCCCCUGAGAAUUGGGGCCUGGGAGGGGGUGGGGACGUCAAGGUCAUUGGCCCCCACGUGCUAGCAGCCAUCCUAGGCCCGGGGUAGAGUGGGGUGCUCGGGCCGAAGGGAGCCCCCGGGGCCCUGCGCCAGCACCGGCGUACGGCCCACGCGGCGUCCCCAGGGCCCUGAGACUUCCACACUGUGCUACAUCCGACUGCUGCAGGGUCACAUCUGGAGCCCAUCCUUGCCCCACGGAUUACGGGGAGGACGGUCACGUCUCACGGGGAAGCAUGUCAGGGGCCUGGCAGGGACUCCACGGGAAGUGCCGCAGAGCAGUUCAGGGGACAGACACGGGCCGGGUUGCCAGAGGCCUGCCUGGAGAGCCUGAGAAGGCCACCUACCUCCCCGGGGCCUCGGUGUCCCCGUCUGUAAAGUGGGAAUAACUGCAGCACCACACACAGCCUCCUGGGGGACAGUCGAUGGCUGAAUACGGGGAGUACUUAGUACAGCACUGGCCUCCGGUGAGGACUCAGGAAAAGUCGUCGCAUUGCUGUCCUCCUGUCACCACAUCACCCCCUCUGCCACCACCACCAUCCACUGUCGCCUCCCGUCCCCUCUGUCACUGCCAGCGUCUCCUCACCACCACCGUCCCCACUGGCUGGAACUCAGGUGCUGGUCAGGGCUGCGCGGGAGCAGCAAAUCCAGGCAGGUCGCCCGCCUGCUGGUUAGCCCCACCCCGGUGCCUCCUGCAGAGCUGCCCUCACCCCGCUCUCCCCACGACCUGUGCCCUCCUAUGUCCUUGGCGGAGGGGCAGGGGCAGCCCCUGUGAGCAGGGAGGCGAGGCCCUCAGUGACCGCCCUGAGUCCCCGCCGGGCCCGGAUCCGAGAGGUCCUGCAGGUGCGGGGACCACAGCAAGGACACUUUUAGGGCCUGCAAGCUUUUCCUAAAAUCAUUACGUUCAUUGCAAAACCCUUGA